rnacentral:rRNA from 1 species
AAGACUUACAUNGCAGUCGAACGGAGUUGUUAUACAGAAGUUCUUCGGGAUGGAAAUAUAAGAACUUAGUGGCGGACGGGUGAGUAACGCGUGGGUAACCUGCCCUUUUGUGGGGAACAACUUCGAGAAAUCGGAGCUAAUACCGCAUAAUAAUAGAGAAUCGCAUGAUUUUCUAAGGAAAGAUGGCCUCUGAGAAUGCUAUCGCAAAAGGAUGGACCCGCGUCUGAUUAGCUAGUUGGAAGGGUAACGGCCUACCAAGGCAACGAUCAGUAGCCGGCCUGAGAGGGUGAACGGCCACAUUGGGACUGAGACACGGCCCAAACUCCUACGGGAGGCAGCAGUGGGGAAUCUUCCGCAAUGGGCGAAAGCCUGACGGAGCAAUGCCGCGUGAGUGAAGAAGGCCUUCGGGUUGUAAAACUCUGUCCUUAUCGAAGAGAGGUGGGUAUGUGAAUAAUGUACUCAUAGGACGGUAGAUAAGGAGGAAGCCCCGGCUAACUACGUGCCAGCAGCCGCGGUAAUACGUAGGGGGCGAGCGUUGUCCGGAAUCACUGGGCGUAAAGGGCGCGUAGGCGGUUUAAUAAGUCAGUGGUGAAAACUGAGGGCUCAACCCUCAGCCUGCCACUGAUACUGUUAGACUUGAGUAUGGAAGAGGAGAAUGGAAUUCCUAGUGUAGCGGUGAAAUGCGUAGAUAUUAGGAGGAACACCAGUGGCGAAGGCGAUUCUCUGGGCCAAGACUGACGCUGAGGCGCGAAAGCGUGGGGAGCAAACAGGAUUAGAUACCCUGGUAGUCCACGCCGUA